rnacentral:rRNA from 1 species
GGAUCAUUACAAGAAGCCGAAAGGCUACUUCAAACCAUCGCGAACUCGUCCAAGUUGCUUCGGCGGCGCGGCACCCCUUAACGGGGGCGCCGCAGCCCUGCCUCUCCGGAGGUCCGGGGCGCCCGCCGGAGGUACGAAACUCUGUAUUAUAGUGGCAUCUCUGAGUAUAAAACAAAUAAGUUAAAACUUUCAACAACGGAUCUCUUGGUUCUGGCAUCGAUGAAGAACGCAGCGAAAUGCGAUAAGUAAUGUGAAUUGCAGAAUUCAGUGAAUCAUCGAAUCUUUGAACGCACAUUGCGCCCGGUAGUACUCUACCGGGCAUGCCUGUUCGAGCGUCAUUUCAACCCUCAAGCCCUGCUUGGUGUUGGGGCCCUACGGCUGCCGUAGGCCCUGAAAGGAAGUGGCGGGCUCGCUACAACUCCGAGCGUAGUAAUUCAUUAUCUCGCUAGGGAGGUUGCGGCGUGCUCCUGCCGUUAAAGACCCAUCUUUAACCAAGGUUGACCUCGGAUCAGGUAGGAAUACCCGCUGAACUUAAGCAUAUCAAUAAGCGGAGGAAAAGAAACCAACAGGGAUUGCCCUAGUAACGGCGAGUGAAGCGGCAACAGCUCAAAUUUGAAAUCUGGCUUUGGCCCGAGUUGUAAUUUGUAGAGGAUGCUUUUGGUGAGGUGCCUUCUGAGUUCCCUGGAACGGGACGCCAGAGAGGGUGAGAGCCCCGUAUAGUCGGCCACCGAUCCUUUGUAAAGCUCCUUCGACGAGUCGAGUAGUUUGGGAAUGCUGCUCAAAAUGGGAGGUAUAUCUCUUCUAAAGCUAAAUAUAGGCCAGAGACCGAUAGCGCACAAGUAGAGUGAUCGAAAGAUGAAAAGCACUUUGAAAAGAGGGUUAAAUAGCACGUGAAAUUGUUGAAAGGGAAGCGCUUGUGACCAGACUUGUGCCGGGCUGAUCAUCCAGUGUUCUCACUGGUGCACUCGACCCGGCUCAGGCCAGCGUCGGUUUUCGUGGGGGGAUAAAAGCUUCGGGAACGUAGCACCUUCGGGUGUGUUAUAGCCCGUUGCUUAAUACCUCCGUGGAGACCGAGGU